UACGGAGGGUGCAAGCGUUAUCCGGAUUCACUGGGUUUAAAGGGUGUGUAGGCGGGUAUUUAAGUCAGUGGUGAAAUCUCCGGGCUCAACCCGGAAACUGCCAUUGAUACUAUUUAUCUUGAAUACUGUUGAGGUAGGCGGAAUAUGUCAUGUAGCGGUGAAAUGCAUAGAUAUGACAUAGAACACCGAUUGCGAAGGCAGCUUACUAAACAGUUAUUGACGCUGAGGCACGAAAGCGUGGGGAUCAAACAGG
rnacentral:rRNA from 1 species